rnacentral:misc_RNA from 1 species
CAGAGUUUACAAACUCCCAACCCCUUGUGAACAUACCUAUCAUGUUGCCUCGGCGGAUCAGCCGCGCCCGUCAAGGGAGCCGGACCGCCGCAGGACUGCACAACUCUGUUUUACUGUACCAUUCUGAGUAACUAAAUUCAAUAAAUUA